ensembl:Mt_tRNA
AUUUUAAUAGUUGAAUACAACGGUAGUUUUUGGGUUAGUGAGCCUGGUUAAAACCCAGGUAAGAUU